AUACGGAGGGUGCAAGCGUUACUCGGAAUCACUGGGCGUAAAGCGCGCGCAGGCGGCUUGAUAAGUUGGAUGUGAAAGCCUACGGCUCAACCGUAGAACUGCAUCCAAAACUGUCAGGCUAGAGUGUGGGAGAGGAAGAUGGAAUUAGUUGUGUAGGGGUAAAAUCCGUAGAGAUAACUAGGAAUACCAAAAGCGACGGCAAUCUUCUGGAACACUACUGACGCUGAGGCGCGAAGGCGUGGGGAGCAAACAGGAUUAGAUACCCUAGUAGUCC
rnacentral:rRNA from 1 species